UCAACGCCAAGCAAACCUAAACUUAAUGACACUGAUUAAAGCUUAUAAUUAAACAAGAGAGACUUACAAGAAGAUUGUGUUUAAUAUGACUACAGAAUAGUGGGAAUCAUAAUGGAAGGAAGACAAAAUAAGAUGCAACGUACGGGUUUUAGCUACAAUAAUUAGUAAGAUUGAAGACUUCUUGACGAUGUUUAUAAUGUAUCCUAUAAAAUAUUCACUCACCAGAAUCGUCCAAAGAUCCAGGAGGGACAGAUAUCUACUCCAAACCUGGAAUCUGUUGCAGAAUAUUAAAGAAAAUUAUGGGAAAACAAAUGUGAAUGACGGACAGAUUUAGUAAGAUGAAAGAUUUAAGCCUACAAGCACACUACUGUUUCUCACAUCAAAGGUACAUUGUUAAUUAUGCGCAUCAAUAUUAAAUAAAGCAGUU